UCCCUGGUGGUCCGGUGGCUGGAACGCCAUACUCCCAAUGCAUGGGGCCCAGGUUCAAUCCCUGGUCAGGGAA
rnacentral:tRNA from 1 species